rnacentral:rRNA from 1 species
UACAUGUGGGGCAAGCGUUGUUCGGAUUUACUGGGCGUAAAGCGCACGUAGGCGGAUUGGUCAGUUAGGGGUGAAAUCCUGGAGCUCAACUCCAGAACUGCCUUUAAUACUGCCAAUCUCGAGUCCGGAAGAGGUAAGUGGAACUCCUAGUGUAGAGGUGGAAUUCGUAGAUAUUAGGAAGAACACCAGUGGCGAAGGCGGCUUACUGGUCCGGUACUGACGCUGAGGUGCGAAAGCGUGGGGAGCAAACAGG